CCUACGGGUGGCAGCAGUGAGGAAUAUUGGUCAAUGGACGAGAGUCUGAACCAGCCAAGUAGCGUGAAGGAUGACUGCCCUAUGGGUUGUAAACUUCUUUUAUAUGGGAAUAAAAUGUUCCACGUGUGGGAUUUUGUAUGUACCAUAUGAAUAAGGAUCGGCUAACUCCGUGCCAGCAGCCGCGGUAAUACGGAGGAUCCGAGCGUUAUCCGGAUUUAUUGGGUUUAAAGGGAGCGUAGGUGGAUUGUUAAGUCAGUUGUGAAAGUUUGCGGCUCAACCGUAAAAUUGCAGUUGAAACUGGCAGUCUUGAGUACAGUAGAGGUGGGCGGAAUUCGUGGUGUAGCGGUGAAAUGCUUAGAUAUCACGAAGAACUCCGAUUGCGAAGGCAGCUCACUGGACGACAACUGACGGUGAGGCGCGAAAGCGUGGGGAGCAAACAGGAUUAGAUACCCCAGUAGUC
rnacentral:rRNA from 1 species